rnacentral:rRNA from 1 species
GAUGAACGCUGGCGGCGUGCCUAACACAUGCAAGUCGAACGAAUAACCCGCCUUCGGGCGGUCAUAGAGUGGCGAACGGGUGAGUAACACGUGACCAACCUGCCCCGCACCCCGGGACAACCGCCGGAAACGGCGGCUAAUACCGGAUACUCCGGGCCUCGCGCAUGCGCGGCCCGGGAAAGCCCAGACGGUGCGGGAUGGGGUCGCGGCCCAUUAGGUAGUAGGCGGGGCAACGGCCCACCUAGCCUGCGAUGGGUAGCCGGCCUGAGAGGGCGAUCGGCCACAUUGGGACUGAGAUACGGCCCAG